rnacentral:rRNA from 1 species
CCUACGGGGGGCUGCAGUGGGGAAUAUUGGACAAUGGGGGGAACCCUGAUCCAGCCAUGCCGCGUGUGUGAAGAAGGCCCUCGGGUUGUAAAGCACUUUCAGUGAGGAAGAACGCCUGGUGGUUAAUACCCAUCAGGAAAGACAUCACUCACAGAAGAAGCACCGGCUAACUCCGUGCCAGCAGCCGCGGUAAUACGGAGGGUGCGAGCGUUAAUCGGAAUUACUGGGCGUAAAGCGCGCGUAGGUGGCUUGAUAAGCCGGUUGUGAAAGCCCCGGGCUCAACCUGGGAACGGCAUCCGGAACUGUCAAGCUAGAGUGCAGGAGAGGAAGGUAGAAUUCCCGGUGCAGCGGUGAAAUGCGUAGAGAUCGGGAGGAAUACCAGUGGCGAAGGCGGCCUUCUGGACUGACACUGACACUGAGGUGCGAAGGCGUGGGUAGCAAACAGGAUUAGAUACCCCUGUAGUC